rnacentral:rRNA from 1 species
CACGUAGGGGACGAGCGUUGUCCGGAUUCAUUGGGCGUAAAGCGCGCGUAGGCGGCUCGGAAAGUCGGUUGUGAAAGCCCGGGGCUCAACCCCGGGACUGCGUCCGAAACUUCCGGGCUGGAGGCAGGUAGGGGAGAUCGGAAUUCCUGGUGUAGCGGUGAAAUGCGCAGAUAUCAGGAGGAACACCGGUGGCGAAGGCGGAUCUCUGGGCCUUGCCUGACGCUGAGGCGCGAAAGCUAGGGGAGCGAACAGG